AAACAGCUGGGAAAGAGGAGCGGGGAAAACUGUCUCCAUGCGCUCCCGCUCUUCUUCCACUCCCCCCCUCCUUUUUUUUUUUGUUAAAACCAGGGUGUGUUUCCUUAUGAGGUACCUAGAGGAAUAAUCCUGCGGUUUGCUCUCUCGUUUUGUUCUCUCCGCCCUUUAUCGUUCGUAGGUGGAAGAGGCACAUAUUGAUGAGAAGAGGAAGGAGUCACAUCAGAACCAGGGAUACUGGAAAAUCUAAAUCUACUUACUUAAGUCUUACUAUGGAAGGAUGCAACACAGAGGAUUUGAAACACAGACGAUAAAUGUAAAUGACAUACCAAGGAUGAAAAAGUUUCCCCAUGCAGGAGGCAGUGAGGCCUGGUCAGCAAGGCAGAUGACCUGGUUCUGUUCCUGGCAUUGUUUCUGGCUUUUGGGGAACCAAUAUCAAGUCAUUUCUCUCUAUGCUUCCUUCUCCCUAUGCUUUAAACAGGAGUAAUGAUAAUGAACACAAGGUCAAUGAAUGAAAUAUCUGCAUAUAAACUUUUUUAAAUUAAAGAAUUAGCAGUCUCUGAAAAUGAAAUAUUUCGAAACACAAAGGGUCAAAACACAGAAAAAAACACUUUUAAAGAGCUUACUGCUUAAGGACAUGCAACUGAUCACCUGGCAGCCAGCCUUAUUUGCCUACCAAAUAAGAAGUCAGUUCUGGAUAAUGGACCCCGGUUUCAGACACAGAAAUAUGUUGCCUAGACCUUUCCAGUCUGCAGAUGUUUACACUGCGCUUCUGCCUCAGUGUCUCUAGUCUGGAUGUAAUCAGUGAUCUCAUUCACACUUCAAGUCUCCAGAGAAGGGAUAAACUGUACAUUGUGUCCUCAUCCAUCUGUGUCCUCAAUGACGUAAUCAAAUUAUUGGUGGAGUGCAGUCUAAUUCCACUGGUUGACUUGCAUGGCAUGAACAUCGGUGCUAAAUACACUUCAUUGCCACUGCUGCAUUGGCAUACCCCUAUGGAAAUGUUUUGCAAUGUGUUCUGCAUUUUGUCAAGGGACCUGUGGAUUGCACUUAUGUCAGCUGUCAUGCAUAUAGACAUAGCCUGUGUUUUCCUUCAUUUUCUGGAGGUCAUGGUUCUGUUUCCUGAGCCAUCUAAUCACUCUGAAUAUUAGUGGCAAUAGGGGUUUUAACAUGCUGAACUAUAGCUCUUAGUUGACAGUGUCUUGAAUAACUAAUAACUUCAAUAACUAGUAACUUGAGUAACUAGUAACUGCACAGCUGAUGAAUGGCAAACCUAUUUCCCAGUAACAGUCUUUUCACUGGCCAGCUAGUCAGUAUUGACAUGGGUCAACAAGCUUAUACAGUUUUUGAUACUGAUAUAUCAUGAUAAACAGCACACCUGCUACUUCAUAGUCUAAUAAUUUGAAGGCAGUUUUUCCUCCAUGGUACAGUUCACUAGUACCAUGUGGGAGAAUUAAACACUACAUAAGAUCCAUAAUAAUGCAACAUAGUGCAAUGUACUGUUUUUACAGAGGUAAAGAACGGGAAAUUAUUUGAAUGGAAAAUUGCCAAGAAGGCACCUUUGCCCUGUUCAAGGCUUACCUUAAGAUCAUAGAUAUUUCAAGAUGAUGAUUUAUUCCCAUGGCAUAUAUGAGCUCUGGAAACAAACUGGACCUGAACUUAUCUGAAUUACCCACAAUGCACUGCAUGAAACAGAGUACCAGCACAGUUAUCAAAUCAAUCAAAGAAUUAA